rnacentral:misc_RNA from 1 species
UCUCCGUAGGUGAACCAGCGGAGGGAUCAUUACCGAGUUAGGAACUCUCAAGCCCAUCCUCCCAGCCUGUUUUUUUGUUACCUUGUUGCGUUGGCCGCUCCGCCCCGAUGAGCGCCCGCCGGAAGCCCACCGCUCUGCGCACGCUUCCGCCACUAGCGCCCCUAAACUCCUAAUAAACCUGUCGUCUGAAUACAUUUAUAAUAAAAAAAACUUUCAACAACGUAUCUCAUGAAUCUGGCAUCGAUGAAGAACACAGCAGAUCCGUAGAGCACACUUCUU